GAACUCCAAUGGCGUCUGAGUCAGCACACCCACAGCAGGCCACAACAAUGGCCGCCGCCAAUGUCCCAGUCCCUGGAGAGGUCUCACCUCUCACUGAGAUGCACUCAGGGCCUAUUAGGCUAUACCUGGACACCAGUACCCCACUAUGAGCUGGGAAACACAGAUCUUUAAAUAUUGUGGAACAGAAAAGGCUUAUGCUCGGAACCACCUAGAGCAGACAAUGAAGUGAAAUGGAAUGGUUGCCUGGAGCUGGAGAUUCUGCCUUUCAAACAAGCUCCCAGUGAUAAUGAUGAUGUCCCUGGCCCAUGGACCACAUUUGGAGUAAAAUGGUUCAGGUUCUCUGCCCCUUGACAGCAUCCUUCACCGGCCUUCUGGAGCUGUGCCCAGUCCACCUACAUCAUAACAGAGAUUUGAUCGGCGGCAGCAGCAGAAUCCAACCAGUGGCCAGCUUGCUUUCACUCAUUCCCUGCAGAUAGAGAGCAUCUGCUGGAUGGUUCUCUGAAAUAAUUUAGCAUAUUUUUAAAAAGAAGUCAACAAUGUAGAAGCCAGGCAUGCUGACUGUGGGAAGAGGAAGCACAACAGGUAGUAAUGAAACAGAAUUUUUCUUCUAUCCAGCUUAACACAGAUGGUUGUCAUUCAACUGCCAUCUGAGCUGAGACUGUUUUAUUCUCACAAUGAAAAUCCGAGUAGGAAGUGAUCGCAUGUAUAUACUGACAAGGGAUGGCCUUCUCAAGGGGUAGCUUAAUGUUGUAUAAAGACCAUGGUUUGAUUUUCCCUUCCUUUUCAGAACUCAUGUUUCAGUUUUCACACUAUGCUAUUACCCUUCGGAUAGACAGUAAUUUGGGAAAAGGGCUUGGUAUUUCCCGGUAGUUGAGUGGUGUAAGAGCUGACUGGGAAUCAAACAAGUUGGCAGAGAUGGAGUUGAUGUGGGAAGGGUGUUAAAGGCCUAAGAAUUUGACAUUUUUUGUGUUGUUUCUUUUGGUUGUAGAACCUAAAUACAAAAUAAAGAGAUUGAAAUUCUAGGAUUUUGAAGUCAAAAGGGUCUCUAGAGAUCUCUAAGUCCUCUGAUUUUAUAGCUGAAUCACAGAGAUCCAGAGAGAAAAAGUGAGGGGCCCAAGACCACAGAGCUAUUCAGUGGCUGGGCCAGCUUGUCCCCAGUGCAGAUCAUAGGUCCCAGGUUACAUACAUAGGGA